rnacentral:tRNA from 1 species
GAGGAUAUAGCUCAGCAGUAGAGCACAUGCUUAGCAUGCAUGAGGUCCUGGGUUCAAUCCCCAGUACUUCCA